UUGGAAUACUAGCCCAAUGCUCUGCCAACUGAGCUACGCGGUCAGGUUGCUCAGUUGCGUAGCUCAGUUGGCAGAGCAUUGGGCUAGUAUUCCAA